ensembl:snRNA U2 U2 spliceosomal RNA
AUCGCUUCUCGGCCUUUUGGCUAAGAUCAAGUGUAGUAUCUGUUCUUAUCAGUUUAAUAUCUGAUAUGUCCUCUAAAUGAGGACUGUGUAUUAAAUGGAUUUUUGGAACUUGGAGAUGGAAUAGGGGCUUGCUCCGUCCACUUCACGCAUUGACCUGGUAUUGCAGUACUUCCGGGACCAGUGCACCCCCC